rnacentral:misc_RNA from 1 species
GUGAAUCAUCAAAUUUUUGAACGCAAAUUGCACUCUCCUCGGAGAGUAUGAGUGUUUCUGUGUCAGCCUAUAUAAAAUCGACAUCGUUGUUGUUUCGCGGUGGCGUUCGUCGGAAAUUGGGUCAUCUUAUAUCGUUUUGGUUUUUAAGCGUGUUAGAAUUUUCUUUUUGGUUCGAUGAACGUUUCUAAGAUUUAUUUCUUUACACGUUUAAGGUAUCGAUUUUUAUUAGACGUGAC